AUGGAGGAAAUAAUUGCACAUACAAUAAAGAAACAGAUGAAAAUGCAAAUAGUGUUAAUCAAAAAAAAAAAAAAAAAAAGAACAGGUAUACCUAUGAACGAACGUAAAUGUUAUCGUGUGUUAGCAAAACAAAUGGUAAAAAUACAAGGACUAACUUUUGAUCAUAAUCAAAUUAGAUGGAUAGCAUACUGGAAAAAUGAAAAUAACAAACAAAUCCAAAAACAUUUUCCUGUUUGUAAAUAUGGUUUUUACACAGCUAGACAAUUGGCUCUCGAUUUUAGAAACAUGAAAAUAGCCGAUAUGGAUAAUACAAUAAAGAAAGAAUUGGAUGGUAUGACUAGUUCUUCUACUGCUAUAGCUUUAGCUAUUACUCCUACGGGUGAUAAUACGGUCGCUACUUCCAUAACUGCCAAUACUUCCAUAACUACCAAUACUGCCAUAACUGUCACUACUGCCACUACUGCCAAUACUGCCAAUACUGCCAAUACUACCACUACUGCCACUACUACCACUACUGCUGCUACUAUCACUACUGGUACUACUACCUUUCCUAGUAUUACUAACAAAAACGAGAUAAAAACCAAUUUUAUUAAAAAUAAGAUACGAAAUAAUGGGGGGGGAAAAAAUAGUAAAACAAUGCAGCAAGAAGAGAUGUAUAAUAAUAAAAAAAAAAGAAAAAAAAAAUUAUUAUAUGUUGAUAAUGGUAUUUCUGGUAGUAUUCCUAACGAAUUAACAACUUGUCCUAUUACUUUAAAAAAAAAACAAAACAGAAAAAAUAUUACAAGGAAAAAAAAUAGUAAUAAUAGAGUAGUAAGUAAGAACGACGUUGAUAAUAGGGGUAACAGUGAUAAUUAUAAUGAUGUUAAUACUACUGAUAUUUUUACGUAUGAUGGUAGUAAUAACAAUAACACUUAUAGUAAUAGUAGCACAAGUCGAAACAGUAACAAAGGAAUUACAAACAAAAACAAAAAAAAUAAUGGUAAUAAAUGUUUGAAAAGUAAUGUAACAGUUAGUAAUAAAAGGAAAACACAUUCGAAAAAGAAGGGUGAAACAAAAGAUUAUAACAAACCGGAUAUGCAUAUGGCAAACACUGGUGUCGUAUGUCAACAGAAUAAAAUGGUCAACAUAGAUCAUGACAAUUUACUUAAAACAAACAACUAUGUGCAAAAUGUAUUAAAUAAUAAACAAAUAGCUUGUGUAUAUUUGGAUAAUAAAAAAUCAAAUAAUAUAUUAAAUAGUAAUGGAAAUAAUGUAUUAAAUAGUAAUGGAAAUAAUGUAUUGAAUAAUAAUGGAAAUAAUGUAUUGAAUAGUAAUGGAAAUAAUGUAUUGAAUAGUAAUGGAAAUAAUGUACUAAAUAUUAAUGGAAAUACUGUAUUAAAUAUUAAUGGAAAUACUGUAUUAAAUAGUAAAGGAAAUAAUGUAUUAAUGGAGAAUAUCGAUUCUUUUAAAAAUAAAAAUAAUUAUAUACAACAUCAUAUACAUAGUAAUACAUUCGUUAAUAAUAGUAUUUGUACUGACAACAUAAGCAGUUGCAACACACAAUUUAAUCCAACUCAUACAGAUGAAAAUAAUUUUUUAUACAAAUCAAAGAACUUUAAUAUGUGUGAUUUUGAAAUUACGAAAAAGAAUAUAUCUAAUAAUGGUACUUUUAUACAUCAUUCCAAUGUACAGAAUUGUAAUACUUCUAGUUUUGAUUUGAUUAAUGCUUAUGGUAAUGUUGGUACGAGUGGGUGUGGUAAUUCUAUUAUGAUUAAUUCUUCGGACCACUUGGUUGAAUAUGAUAAUAAUUUACAAAAUGGUUGUAUAAAUUAUAAUAAUAGAAUAUAUGAUGAAGUAACAAAUAUAAAUAUAUCUGAUAAUGUAACAAAAAAUAAAAAUAUGGAAAAUAUUUUUUGUUUGGGUUAUAUGAAUAAUACAUUUUAUAAUAUGAACUAUCAGACUGAUCAAAGUUACUAUCACCAUAGUUAUAACGAUAUGAUUGAUGUUUAUAAUAAUAAUUGUGGUGAAUAUAAAAAUAGGAAUGAUAUAAUUAAUAAUAAUAUUAAUAAUAAUAUUAAUAAUAAUAUUAAUAAUAAUUUUAAUAAUAAUAUGUAUAAUAUGGACAAUAAUAUGUAUGCUAAUAAUAUAUUUAAUAAUGUAGAAAAUGUAAAAUAUAUAAAUGGUUGUAAGGAAUAUAACUCACAUUAUGAUGAUUUUAUUAAUACGAAAAAUAAAAAUGAUGUUUUUAUUUUACUCCCUGAUAAUUUAAAUAAUAAUAUUAAUACUAUUGGUAAUACUGUUGGUAAUACUGUUGGUAAUACGGUUGGUAAUACUGUUGGUAAUACUGUUGGUAAUACGGUUGGUAAUACGGUUGGUAAUAUGAACAACAUUAAUAGUAUUAACCAGGAUAACCUUAGUUACACUAACCAAUACAACAUUAAUAACAAUAAACAGAUAAACAAAGUAUACGAAACAAAUGAACAAAAUAACUCUUAUGACUACAACAACAUUUAUAUAAUGCAUCCUAAUAGUAACAUUUAUAUAAACAAUAAUAAUAAUAAUAAUAAUAAUAAUAUGAUUGAGAAUAUAAAUAAUGAUGUUAUUGUAGAUACUAGUCAGGGUAUAUACAAACAAAUAAAUUUAAAUGAUGAUAGAGAGAUUUCACAGUGGGUAGAUAACAAUAAUGUGCACCAUAACACUAAUGAGUGUAAACAAACUAAAAAGCAAACUAGUCGGGUAUAUGAGAGCGAAAACAAAAGCCAAAACAAAAGCCAAAAUAAAAGCGAAAAAAAAAACGAAAAAAAAAAUGAAAAAAAAAAUGAAAAAAAAAAUGAAAAAAAAAAUGAAAAUGUAAAGGAACAAAAAAAUAAAAAUAAAUACAGAUAUACAAACACAAAUACAAUAGUAGAAAACGAUGAUAAUAUUUAUUAUAAACAAAAAAAAAUAAACAAAACUAAUGAUAAAGUUAGAAAUAACAAUGUUGCUAUAAUGAGUGGUAAUUAUAAAGAUGAUCAUUAUAACUGUAAGAAAGAAUGUACACUUUCACUAAAAAAAAUAAAACAUAUAGAGAAUGAUGAGUAUAUACAAAACGGUAACAAUAACAGUAACAGUAAUAAUAAAAAAAAUAAAAAAAAUGCAAAUGUUUCAGUAUCUAAAGAAAAACAAAAUAAGCAGAUGAUUAUACAGAAUAAUCAGUAUCAAUCGAAUAAUAACAAUAUGAAAUUUGCUUCAAGUACAACUAACAUGUUGGAUGUGGAUGCUGACACAUUAACUAGAUCAUCUACCUUUGCCUACCAUUCAGACCAGGUAAUUAAUAACAUAAUGGACUGUUACAACAAUAAUAGCAAUAACAGCAAUAAUAGCAAUAACAGCAAUAACAGCAAUAAUAGCAAUAAUAGCAAUAAUAGCAAUAAUAACAAUAAUAGCAAUAAUAACAAUAAUAGCAAUAUGAUGGUAAUAAUAAACAAUGAGGUAGUGAAUAAUGUUAUACAUAUUGAUCGAAAUAAAAAUGAAAAUGUUGAAAGUUCAGUACGAAUAGAGCAAGGAAAUGAUAUGACGCUUGGUAUAAACAGAAAUUAUGAUCAUACAAAAGCAGAUAAAAAAAAUGAAAGCGAAUUAUGUUACAAUGAAACGGAUGGUGUCAUAAAUGCUUCAUACAUGAACAAUAUCGACAGAAAAGAAAAUUAUUUAAAAAAAAAAGCAGUACUAAUAGAAUCAGAUAAAAGUAAUAGGAAGUUAAAUGAUGUUAUAUAUUAUACUAAGGACAUGGAAAAAAAGGUUUUUAAACAAAAUAAAAAAAAAAAUAAUGAUAUAAAUGACAGUGAUGAAUAUAAUAGAGAUGUUUUUCAUAAUAAUGGUAGUAACAAUUUAGGUUGUAAUACUGUUUAUAGUUAUAAUAAACAUAAUGUAACUGAACAGAGUCUAUGUGAUGGAGAUUUAAUUUAUAAUUGCAAUGAUGUGGCAAGAAAAAAUAUGUUAGGUGAGUUAAACACUGUAAAUAAACCAAUAAGUUUGUCAAACAGUUUAUAUUAUACAAGUAAUGAGUAUAUAAACCAUCCUAAAUUGAUAAAAACAAAAAAACAAUUCAAUAGGAAUGAAAAAAAAAAAAUAAAUAAAAUGAGUAAUAAUGUUAAUGAACAAAAUAAAACUAUUAUUUACCUGGAAAAGGAAAAUAGUAAUAAUGAACACAUUGGUAAAAAUAACAGAUAUAAAAAAAAUAAAAUAAAUAAUGAAAGAGUAGUUAGUGAAAAAGUAGUUAGUGAAAGAGUAGUUAGCGAAAGAGUAGUUAUUGAUGGUGAUGUAAGAAGUAACAGUGCAGGUAGUUCAAUGAUCGAUAAGAGUAGCAAACUUGUUACAUCGUGUGAAGAACACAGUGAAAAUAACAUCUUACAUAAAAACAAAAAUAAUAUUAAUUUAAUUAAUGAACGAAGUAAUAUCGAAAGUUGUACAUAUGAGUCAAGUAGUAAAGAUAAACAAAUGAAAGAACUAAAAAAUGAGUACUAUGAUUAUUAUAAUGGUACUGGAAAUGCAAUUACUGACAUUAUUGGUACUAAUAAUAGCAUCGAUGGUUAUAGCAAUACUAUGAAUAGUAGGAACAUUAACUGUAACAAUAGUUAUAGUGAUAUAGAUUAUGCUAAUGAAAUAAUGAAAAUACCCAAAAUAAAAGGAGUACAUUUUGAUAUAAGACAAAAAAGGUGGUGCGCAUAUGGACAUAAAAAAAAAGAAUGUUUUUCAGUGUACAGGUAUGGAUUUUUAAAUGCCAGAGAGUUGGCAGUAAGGAGUAGAUUGCUAGUGCAACGAAAAAGAAAUAAUAUGAAAUUAAAAAAGCAAAUGCAGGAGAUGGUACAAGAGCAGCAACAAGAACAACAACAAGAGCAGCAACAAGAACAACAACAAGAACANNNNNNNNNNAACAACAACAAGAGCAGCAACAAGAACAACAACAAGAACAACAACAACAGGUAG
ensembl:lncRNA